rnacentral:rRNA from 1 species
GUGUCAGCCGCCGCGGUAAUACCGGCGGCCCGAGUGGCGGCCACUUUUAUUGGGCCUAAAGCGUCCGUAGCCGGGCUGGUAAGUCCUCCGGGAAAUCUGGUCGCUUAACGAUCAGACUGCCGGAGGAUACUGCCAGCCUUGGGACCGGGAGAGGCCGGGGGUAUUCCCGGGGUAGGGGUGAAAUCCUGUAAUCCCGGGAGGACCACCUGUGGCGAAGGCGCCCGGCUGGAACGGGUCCGACGGUGAGGGACGAAGGCCAGGGGAGCGAACCGGAUUAGAUACCCGGGUAGUCCUGGCUGUAAACGAUGCGGACUAGGUGUCACCGAAGCUACGAGCUUCGGUGGUGCCGGAGGGAAGCCGUUAAGCAUCCCGCCUGGGGAGUACGGCCGCAAGGUUGAAACUCAAAUGAAUUGGCGGGG